rnacentral:misc_RNA from 1 species
GAGUCUCUCAAAAGGGGUUUAUCACUCCUUUGGGGUUUUGGGUCUUGCUGUGAAAUUCAUCUCGGCUUACCUUGAAAGCAUUAGCAAGCAUCUCAAGUCUUUUGUGAUGAGGGCGUUCUAAUUGGUCUUGACUGGUCUGUGUAGCCAGUGUAAAAGACGUCUAAACAUCAUAAGAAGCGAUGCUAGCUUCCAAUCAUCCCAAUAAUGGCUCAAUGCCUCCUU